ACUUAAAUGACAAAUUAUGACGACAUUUUGGCUACCCGCACAACACACAGCCACCCACACAACUCACGAGCACACAUAUCAGACACAAACACACCGCACGCACACACUCACACAGCCACCCUCUCCCUCUCUCGGCUCCUCUGCCGCCGCCAACCGACGGCGGCGAGAGCCGCCUCCACGGCUGUCAUCGCUCCUCCGGUUCUCUCUCUCUCUCUCCCUCUAACUCUCUCAUCUUUCCCAUGACGAACGGCGUAAAUCGCUGCCGCCUCCCCUCUUUCGGCCGGAACAGCAGCCCCAACGGCCACGCCGCCGCCACUCUUCCUUUUUUCUUUUCUUUUUUUCCAUAUCUGGCGCCGCCCCUUUCGUCCUCGCUGGCGGUCUCACGGCGAGGAAAAGCCGCCGCCGCCAUUCAAGAACGGAAGCCACCGCGGCUCCGCCGCCUUGGUUCGGUCCCCGACACCCCUCGACUCGACAUACGAGACAAAGACUCAAACCAAAACAGCUGUCCAUACAUAGAGAAUUAGGGAUAUGGUAGAUUCAAAUUUAAAAAUAUGUAUCUUGCAAUAUGUAUCAAGAUCUGUAAUUUAUUGCUCGUUUCCUUCGAUCAUCAAAGUAUUUGUGAAAUUCAGUUCAUAAUCUUGAGAAA